rnacentral:lncRNA from 1 species
AGCAGAUCAACCAUCACUGAAAAUGGGAAAGGUAAGAUGAUCUGAAUAUUGUAAAUAUUUGCAACACAAGAAAUUUUGGAAACAAUAAACAGAUUUUUUUUUUUUUAAAUGAACCAAAGCAAAUUCAAGUUUAAAAUGCUUACAUUGAAUGCCAGCAAACUUUAUCCUAUACAAUAUAUCCUGGUGAGUUUAUCUAGGCCAGAAACAUGACAACAUAAUAUUCCAUAAACUAGUUUUGGACAUUUGCCGCCUCAUCAAAUACAAAUUCAUCAGAACACAUGCUUCACAUGUUUACUUUUUUCAGACUCAAGAGUAAGAUUUUUUCAGUUUUUGAAAGUACUUUCUAGUGAAUGCCACUAUUAACCGUAAUAAAUUGCUAUAAUUAUGUGAAAGUGAAUGCAAGUUCACCAAUCUAAAAAAACACAAAAUGUACCAAAAACAUAUAUUCCAAUUCGGUCCUAAACUUAUAUGUUUAACACCUACACUUUAUUAUUUGAACAGGAUAAUAGUAAAUGUUUUUAGGAAUCUAUAGCAUCAAGUAAUCAAACCAGAAACUAUUUUUUAAAUGAAAUUAUUAACCACUAAAACAAUAACAAACUAAAAAAUCUAAAAUGUUCAAAUGCAUGGUUGUUUCACAGAUUGUCUUCUACGAGGAUCGUAACUUCCAGGGCCGCUCUUAUGAGUGCAACUCUGAGUGUCCAGAUAUGUCCUCAUAUUUUCAGCGCUGUAAUUCCAUCCGAGUGGAAAGUGGAAACUGGAUUCUGUAUGAGCACCCCAACUAUAGAGGACGCCAGUAUUACCUUAGCAGGGGAGAAUAUCCUAAUUUCCAGCAAUGGAUGGGUUUCAAUGACUCCAUCAGAUCUUGUCGUAUUAGCCCACAGGUAAAGAUAUUUACCAAAAUAGUUAAGAACCUUACAUAAAUAUGAUGCAGUACAAAAAAACAUUAUUUUCCAAUUAUCAAUUAUUAUAGGUUUACCUUUGCAAAUAUGACCUUUUUUGACUAUUAUUCAUUAUUUUAUGGAAUAUAUCUUCAAUUCAAAAUUCCAUUGUCAGGUAACAGGUGGUUAACAUGGAUAAAUAUAUAUAUAUAUAUAUAUAUAUAUAUUUAUAUAUAUAUAUAUAUAUAUGUAUAUAUAUAUAUAUAUAUAUAUAUAUAUAUAUAUAUAUAUAUAUAUAUAUAUAUAUAUAUAUAUAUAUAUAUAUAUUCCUGUAUAGAUUUUUGAUGUUUACAUGCAAUUAUACAAUUAUUUUACUCUUGUUUAUAAAUAUUUUUUUCUUCGUAAAGCACCAUGGAUCAUUCAGAGUAAAGGUCUAUGAGAGGGAGGAUUUCCGAGGUCAGAUGAUGGAGUUCACUGAAGAUUGUGUUAAUGUCAAUGAGAGAUUCCGUUACCAUGACAUCCACUCCUGCCAGGUGAUUGAUGGCUACUGGAUGUUCUAUGAGGAACCAAAUUACAAAGGACGCCAGUAUUACCUGAGACCUGGAGAGUACAAAAGAUAUACUGACUGGGGUGCCAUGAGCCCAAGAAUUGGCUCAUUCAGGAGACUUCACCAUUUCUAAUAAGUUGUAUUUAUUACUAAAUCAGCAUGUCAUUAAGAAUAUAAUAAAAGCAUCAAAAAUUAUCUUUAAG